UUGACAGGCAAUAUCUCAUGUUUAAUAACCGUUAUUAACUAUCGCGUUAUUUAAUACAUCGAGUGUAAAUAUGCUAGUCCUUUCAUGAUUAUGUGAUAGGUGGGCAUGGCCGUUCUUAGUUCGUGGAGUGAUCUGUCUGCUUAAUUGCGUUUCACUAAGGGCCCAAAAUUCAAGGUAUGUUAGCUAUCUGUCGCUCUAUGGACCCCUUAACCGAGUUAAAUCGAGUUAAGCGCGCGUCUUUAUUUAAAGAGUUUAAGACAUUGCGCAUGCUGUUGGGCUCUGAAAGCAACGAACGUGACCGCAACGUCUUGUUGCCUUAAUAAAGC
rnacentral:rRNA from 1 species